rnacentral:rRNA from 1 species
UACAGAGGUCUCAAGCGUUGUUCGGAAUCACUGGGCGUAAAGGGUGUGUAGGCGGUGUGCUAAGUCAGAUGUGAAAGCCCGGGGCUCAACCUCGGAACGUGCAUCCGAUACUGGCAUGCUAGAGAAUUGGAGAGGAGUCUAGAAUUCACGGUGUAGCAGUGAAAUGCGUAGAUAUCGUGAGGAAUACCAAGUGCGAAGGCAGGACUCUGGACAUUUUCUGACGCUGAGACACGAAGGCCAGGGGAGCAAACGGG